rnacentral:rRNA from 1 species
CAUGCAAGUCGAGGGGAAACGACAUCGAAAGCUUGCUUUUGAUGGGCGUCGACCGGCGCACGGGUGAGUAACGCGUAUCCAACCUGCCCACCACUUGGGGAUAACCUUGCGAAAGUAAGACUAAUACCCAAUGACGUCUCUAGAAGACAUCUGAAAGGGAUUAAAGAUUUAUCGGUGAUGGAUGGGGAUGCGUCUGAUUAGCUUGUUGGCGGGGUAACGGCCCACCAAGGCUACGAUCAGUAGGGGUUCUGAGAGGAAGGUCCCCCACAUUGGAACUGAGACACGGUCCAAACUCCUACGGGAGGCAGCAGUGAGGAAUAUUGGUCAAUGGACGAGAGUCUGAACCAGCCAAGUAGCGUGCAGGAUGACGGCCCUAUGGGUUGUAAACUGCUUUUAUAAGGGAAUAAAGUGAGCCUCGUGAGGCUUUUUGCAUGUACCUUAUGAAUAAGGACCGGCUAAUUCCGUGCCAGCAGCCGCGGUAAUACGGAAGGUCCGGGCGUUAUCCGGAUUUAUUGGGUUUAAAGGGAGCGUAGGCCGGAGAUUAAGCGUGUUGUGAAAUGUAGAUGCUCAACAUCUGCACUGCAGCGCGAACUGGUUUCCUUGAGUACGCACAAAGUGGGCGGAAUUCGUGGUGUAGCGGUGAAAUGCUUAGAUAUCACGAAGAACUCCGAUUGCGAAGGCAGCUCACUGGAGCGCAACUGACGCUGAAGCUCGAAAGUGCGGGUAUCGAACAGGAUUAGAUACCCUGGUAGUCCGCACGGUAAACGAUGGAUGCCCGCUGUUGGUCUGAAUAGGUCAGCGGCCAAGCGAAAGCAUUAAGCAUCCCACCUGGGGAGUACGCCGGCAACGGUGAAACUCAAAGGAAUUGACGGGGGCCCGCACAAGCGGAGGAACAUGUGGUUUAAUUCG